rnacentral:rRNA from 1 species
AUUGAACGCUGGCGGCAGGCUUAACACAUGCAAGUCGAGCGGAGUGAUGGUGCUUGCACUAUCACUUAGCGGCGGAUGGGUGAGUAAUGCUUAGGAAUCUGCCUAUUAGUGGGGGACAACAUCUCGAAAGGGAUGCUAAUACCGCAUACGUCCUGCGGGAGAAAGCAGGGGAUCACUUGUGACCUUGCGCUAAUAGAUGAGCCUAAGUCGGAUUAGCUAGUUGGUGGGGUAAAGGCCUACCAAGGCGACGAUCUGUAGCGGGUCUGAGAGGAUGAUCCGCCACACUGGGACUGAGACACGGCCCAGACUCCUACGGGAGGCAGCAGUGGGGAAUAUUGGACAAUGGGGGGAACCCUGAUCCAGCCAUGCCGCGUGUGUGAAGAAGGCCUUAUGGUUGUAAAGCACUUUAAGCGAGGAGGAGGCUCUUUUGGUUAAUACCCAAGAUGAGUGGACGUUACUCGCAGAAUAAGCACCGGCUAACUCUGUGCCAGCCGCCGCGGUAA